CAGCCGCCGCGGUAAUACGUAGGUCCCGAGCGUUGUCCGGAUUUAUUGGGCGUAAAGGGAGCGCAGGCGGUUUAGUAAGUCUGGAGUUAAAGGCAUUGGCUCAACCAAUGUAUGCUUUGGAAACUGUUUGACUUGAGUGCAGAAGGGGAGAGCGGAAUUCCAUGUGUAGCGGAGAAAUGCGCAGAUAUAUGGAGGAACACCGGUGGCGAAAGCGGCUCUCUGGUCUGUCACUGACGCUGAGGCUCGAAAGCGUGGGUAGCGAACAGGAUUAGAUACCCGUGUAGUCCCUGUCUCUUAUACA
rnacentral:rRNA from 1 species